rnacentral:rRNA from 1 species
GACGAACGCUGGCGGCGUGCUUAACACAUGCAAGUCGUACGGUAAGGCCCUUUCGGGGGUACACGAGUGGCGAACGGGUGAGUAACACGUGAGUAACCUGCCCACAACUUUGGGAUAACGCUAGGAAACUGGUGCUAAUACUGGAUAUGUGCUCCUGCUGCAUGGUGGGGGUUGGAAAGCUCCUGCGGUUGUGGAUGGACUCGCGGCCUAUAAGCUUGUUGGUGGGGUAGGGGCCUACCAAGGCGGCGACGGGUAGCCGGCCUGAGAGGGUGACCGGCCACAUUGGGACUGAGAUACGGCCCAGACUCCUACGGGAGGCAGCAGUGGGGAAUAUUGCACAAUGGGCGCAAGCCUGAUGCAGCAACGCCGCGUGCGGGAUGACGGCCUUCGGGUUGUAAACCGCUUUCAGCAGGGACGAAGCUUUUUGUGACGGUACCUGCAGAAGAAGCACCGGCUAACUACGUG